UGUGCUGUGCCCCAAACUCCUGACAGGGAUUGGGAUUUAGGGUUUGGAGUUUGGGGUUUGGAGUUUGGGAUAUGGAUCUGGGCUGUGCUGCACCUCAAACUCCUGCCUGGGGUGUGGGAUUUGGGGUUUGGGUUUUGGGAUUUGGGGUUUGGGAUUGGGAUUUGGGGUCAGGGCUGCGCUGGGCUUCAAACUCCUGACAGGGAUUGGGAUUUAGGGUUUGGGAUUUGGGAUUUGGGGUUUAGGAUUUGGGGUUUGGGAUUUGCGGAUUGGGGUUUAGGACUGGGACUGGGGUCAGGGCUGUGCUGUGCCUCAAAUUCCUGCCUGAGAUUGAGAUUUGGGGAUUGGGAAUGGGGUUUGGGGUUUGGGAUUGGGAUUUGGGGUUUGGGGUUUGGGAUUUGGGGUUUCAGAAUAGGGAUAUGGGACUGGGGUCCAGACUGUGCUGUGCCUCAAAUUCCUGCCUGGGAUUGGGAUUUGUGGUUUGGGGUUUGGGAUCUGAGAUUUGGGUUUUGGGAUUGGGGUUUGGGGUCCAGGCUGUGCUGCACCUCAGACUCCUGCCUGGGGUUUGGGAUUGGAGAUUGGGGUUUGGGAUUUGGGGAUAUGGGAAUAUGGGAUCGGGGUCUGGGCAAUUCUGGGUUCCCCCAGGAACAGGGGAGAAAAGCGCUCAGGGGAGGAAGCAGAGGAGGGAAAAACUGUCCUGGGGAAAGUGAAAGAGAACGGGCAGGGAAAACCCCAAAAACAAUAAAGAGGGAAAAAGGGAAGGAAAGGAGCGGGGGAAGAGAGGUUGGAGCUGGAUGGGGGAAGGGAAGGGGCCGGGGAGGUGUCAGCCUGAGUCCCGUCCCAUCCCUGCUUCCACCUUUUCUCAUCCCAUUCCUGUCCCCUCCCUCCCUCUCAGUCCCGGCAUCCUCCAGACUCCGCCCCCAUCCCAUUGAUCCCAUCCCCAAUCCCGACCUCUGCCCCAUCCCCAUUCCCAGCCCCGUUCUCAUCCCAAUCCUGAUCCCCCC
rnacentral:lncRNA from 1 species